CGCUUGCUUCUUGAAGAACCUAGUGAUGGAAACAUGCAGGGCAACGCAUGGCACUUAAUGACUGGAGGACCAGAAACCUCAUCAUUAACAGGAAUCUGACUCUCCUCAUUGGACAGGAACUCCUUGCUGUUCACUGGAGAAAACGUUGUUUCCUUACUUCCGCACAAUUCAGGGACCUACCAAUCUUUAUCAUUGUUAGACUUAAAACACCCAACUCACCUGGUAAAUUGUGGAUGUUGCCCAUGGACUGCUUGUGUUUGGGCUGCAUCACCGCAGCGUCUGUGUGCUCUGGGAAGGAAGGCAAAAACGCUUUCAACAAGGAGGAGCAGCAGGCAGUGUGGAUAUGGAUAACUGACCACGGUACUGGACUGAUAGUCCAGGCGGACUAGGCUGCUGGCCCUAUUAACUGACCAUAAGCCCCUGCAGCAUGGGGCUCAAUUCCACUAUCUCUACAAGUAAAAGCAAAAACAUUUCUUCAAGAUUACAAUAAGAAUGCAAUUUCUAAAAUGAAGCAUGCGCGUGUGGCUCAGUUCCAAAUGAAAUCCUGGUCCCUCUACAGUGCACUACAAAGGUCAUGGGGGCAUGUUAUAUCCGGCGUUCUGAGAAAAACGUAUGACAAUCUUAGCGGCAUUACGUUUGCCCUUCAGCUGUUUGGGAUUCCGGAAGACGAAGCGAUCCAAGAACCUGCCGAGAGUGAAGUCCUGGAGAGGAUCUCCGGUGUAGCUGAUGAACUCUCCCUAAGGACAGGUGCAAAGGACGACUUAACACCCAAAACAAAUAUCGGAGUGGGGGAACACUCCCAAGGUUUAUCCAGGCUUGUCGGUUGCAUACGCAAAUUGUUGUUGAUAAUAAGUACAGGGUUUUGCAAGAAUAAAUCAAUAAAAUUGAAUCUUACCCGUAA